UAGGGAAUCUUCCGCAAUGGGCGAAAGCCUGACGGAGCAACGCCGCGUGAAUGAAGAAGGCCUUCGGGUUGUAAAGUUCUUUCGGUAUUGAGGAAGGUUGAUGUGUUAAUAGCACAUCAAAUUGACGUUAAAUACAGAAGAAGCACCGGCUAACUCCGUGCCAGCAGCCGCGGUAAUACGGAGGGUGCGAGCGUUAAUCGGAAUAACUGGGCGUAAAGGGCACGCAGGCGGUUAUUUAAGUGAGGUGUGAAAGCCCCGGGCUUAACCUGGGAAUUGCAUUUCAGACUGGGUAACUAGAGUACUUUAGGGAGGGGUAGAAUUCCACGUGUAGCGGUGAAAUGCGUAGAGAUGUGGAGGAAUACCGAAGGCGAAGGCAGCCCCUUGGGAAUGUACUGACGCUCAUGUGCGAAAGCGUGGGGAGCAAACAGGAUUAGAUACCCUGGUAGUCCACGCUGUAAACGCUGUCGAUUUGGGGGUUGGGGUUUAACUCUGGCGCCCGUAGCUAACGUGAUAAAUCGACCGCCUGGGGAGUACGGCCGCAAGGUUA
rnacentral:rRNA from 1 species